ACUCCGGUUGAUCCUGCCGGUCCCGACCGCUAUCGGGGUGGGGCUAAGCCAUGGGAGUCGUACGCCCCGCCGCUGCGGGGCGUGGCGGACGGCUGAGUAACACGUGGCUAACCUACCCUCGGGAGGGGGAUAACACCGGGAAACUGGUGCUAAUCCCCCAUAGAGGAGGGGGCCUGGAAGGGUCCCUCCUCGAAAAGGUGUGGCGGGGGUUAACGCUGCCGCACCGCCCGAGGAUGGGGCUACGGCCCAUUAGGUAGUUGGCGGGGUAACGGCCCGCCAAGCCGAUAAUGGGUAGGGGCCGUGAGAGCGGGAGCCCCCAGAUGGGCACUGAGACAAGGGCCCAGGCCCUACGGGGCGCACCAGGCGCGAAACCUCCGCAAUGCGGGAAACCGUGACGGGGCCACCCCGAGUGCCCCCUUACGGGGGCUUUUCCCCGCUGUACCAGGGCGGGGGAAUAAGCGGGGGGCAAGUCUGGUGUCAGCCGCCGCGGUAAUACCAGCCCCGCGAGUGGUCGGGACGAUUAUUGGGCCUAAAGCGCCCGUAGCCGGCUCGAGGUAAGUCUCCUCCUAAAUCCUCGGGCUCAACCCGAGGAUUGGAGGAGAUACUGUCGAGCUAGGGGGUGGGAGAGGCCGAGGGUACUCCCGGGGUAGGGGCGAAAUUUUAUAAUCCCGGGAGGACCACCAGUGGCGAAGGCGCUCGGCUGGAACACGCCCGACGGUGAGGGGCGAAAGCCGGGGGAGCGAACCGGAUUAGAUACCCGGGUAGUCCCGGCUGUAAACGAUGCGGGCUAGGUGUUGGGUGGGCCUAGAGCCCACCCAGUGCCGCAGGGAAGCCGUUAAGCCCGCCGCCUGGGGAGUACGGCCGCAAGGCUGAAACUCAAAGGAAUUGGCGGGGGAGCAC
rnacentral:rRNA from 1 species